UUUGACUUCUCAAUUGAUAGAUGACUGAAUGAAUGUCAUCAAGACUAGAUAAAAUGUCAAAACUCUUGAGUUUUCAUCUAAACCUUGUUUUCACUUUUCACUUAAUAAGUAUAAACAUGUCCGACAUAUACCUCUCAUUUUUGUUUGCUAAGGGAUUUAUAGGGCCACAUAUGGUAGAGUGUACAAGCUCCAAUCUUCUUGUUGAUCUUCGGUCACUCUUCUUUGUAAUUAUUUCUCUAUGUUGCUUUCCUACCAUGUAGUCUACAUAUACUUGUUUUGAAUCUUCAAUUCUA
rnacentral:lncRNA from 1 species